rnacentral:rRNA from 1 species
UGAAUCGGGGAACUGUUGCUGGCCCGUCAAAGGGCAUGUGCACGCUCCUCAAUUUUCCUUCUCCACCUGUGCACCCUUUGUAGACUUUGGAAGACCUCUCGAGGCAACUCGGAUGGAGGGUCGCUGAUUUGUUUCAGCUUCCCUUGCGCUUCCAGGUCUAUGCAUUUUUAUACACACUUUAAAUGUCUCAGAAUGUCUUUCAUGGCUUGCCGUAAAAAGCAAAGCUUUAAACUUAAUACAACUUUCAACAACGGAUCUCUUGGCUCUCGCAUCGAUGAAGAACGCAGCGAAAUGCGAUAAGUAAUGUGAAUUGCAGAAUUCAGUGAAUCAUCGAAUCUUUGAACGCACCUUGCGCUCCUUGGUAUUCCGAGGAGCAUGCCUGUUUGAGUGUCAUUAAAUUCUCAACCUCUCCAGCUUUUUGGCUGGGUGAGGAUUGGAUGUGGGGGUGUGCUGGCUUCCUUAAAAGAGGUCGGCUCCCCUUAAAUGCAUUAGCGGGAACGUCUUGCGGACCGUCACUUGGUGUGAUAAUUAUCUACGCCUCAUGACUGCGAUGCUCUUGUUCUGCUUCUAACCGUCCAUUGACUUGGACAAGCUUUUUGACA